GCCGGCCGGGCAAGUCCAUUGGGAAAUCGACCAGCUCAACUGGUCGGCGUCCGGUGGAAACUACACAGCUUGGGGCCGAGAGACUCGAGGGGUACGUCCGGGGUAGGAGUGAAAUCCUGUAAUCCUGGACGGACCACCAAUGGGGAAACCACGUCGAGAGACCGGACCCGACAGUGAGGGACGAAAGCCAGGGUCUCGAACCGGAUUAGAUACCCGGGUAGUCCUGGCUGUAAACGAUGCUCGCUAGGUAUGCCACGCGCCAUGAGCACGUGAUGCGCCGUAGGGAAGCCGAUAAGCGAGCCCCCUGGGAAGUACGUCCGCAAGGAUGAAACUUAAAGGAAUUGGCGGGGGAGCACCACAACCGGAGGAGCCUGCGGUUUAAUUGGACUCAACGCCGGACAUCUCACCGGUCCCGACAGUAGUAAUGACAGUCAGGUUGACGACUUUACUCGACGCUACUGAGAGGAGGUGCAUGGCCGCCGUCAGCUCGUACCGUGAGGCGUCCUGUUAAGUCAGGCAACGAGCGAGACCCACACUUCUAGUUGCCAGCAACACCCCUGCGGUGGUUGGGUACACUAGGAGGACUGCCAUUGCUAAAAUGGAGGAAGGAAUGGGCAACGGUAGGUCAGUAUGCCCCGAAUGGACCGGGCAACACGCGGGCUACAAUGGCUAUGACAGUGGGAUGCAACGCCGAGAGGCGAAGCUAAUCUCCAAACGUAGUCGUAGUUCGGAUUGCGGGCUGAAACCCGCCCGCAUGAAGCUGGAUUCGGUAGUAAUCGCGUUCAAA
rnacentral:rRNA from 1 species